CAAUAGCGUAUAUUUAAGUUGCUGCAGUUAAAAAGCUCGUAGUUGGAUUUCGGGUGGGAAUGGCCGGUCCGCCGUUUCGGUGUGCACUUGCUACGCCCACCUUGCUGCCGGGGACGUGCUCUUGAGUUCACGCUCGGGACACGGAGUCGGCGAGGUUACUUUGAGUAAAUUAGAGUGUUCAAAGCGGGCUUACGCUUGAAUAUAUUAGCAUGGAAUAACACCAUAGGACUCCUGUCCUAUUUCGUUGGUCUCGGGACGGGAGUAAUGAUUAAGAGGAACAGUUGGGGGCAUUCGUAUUUCAUUGUCAGAGGUGAAAUUCUUGGAUUUAUGAAAGACGAACUUCUGCGAAAGCAUUUGCCAAGGAUGUUUUCAUUGA
rnacentral:rRNA from 1 species